GGACGCAGCCGACCACGGUCGGGUCAGCGACUGGGGUGAAGUCGUAACAAGGUAGCCGUAGGGGAACCUGCGGCUGGAUCACCUCCUUUCAAGGAUAUUUUCUGACACUGGGUUGGGCAACUGAUCUGGUUUGGAGAAUUCCGAAUAAAAAGUCCUUUGCUGCAGGAUCGGCAAAGGCGCUCAGGUCUGACUGAGCUGCUCCUUAGGAGCGGAAGCGCCGUCAACAUAUCCCUUUCUACGAUGAGAUCUGACUGUGGGUUUUCAACUCGCAGAUUGGACUGGGUUUGGGCUAGUAGCUCAGUUGGUUAGAGCACACGCUUGAUAAGCGUGGGGUCGGAGGUUCAAGUCCUCCCUGGCCCACCAGGUUUGGGGGCAUAGCUCAGCUGGGAGAGCACCUGCUUUGCAAGCAGGGGGUCGUCGGUUCGAACCCGUCUGCCUCCACCAUGUUUGGUGGAACGAGUGAUUGAGGAUUGUGGUGUGAGAGCGCCUGCCGAGAUUGCUUCGUUUUAUGGAUCUCAUCGAGGAGAGGUUAGAGAGAUCGGGCCUUCUUUUAUCUGACUGCGGUGCAGCGGAUUUGAGAGAGUGUCUGGUGAUGUGUUCUUUGUCAGUGUGAAUCGGUUGGUGCGUAUGUGGGCGUGCCGAAAUCCUGGGUUGGUCUGACCCAUGAGCUGAGCAAUCGGCUUGUGUUAAGGGGUUUUGGCGGAAGCGUUCAUAUGCGAUUUUGAAAUGUGACGCGCUUGAAUGAGCUGUCGUGCAUGUUUCCUGAGAUAUCGGGGUUCUGCCUUGGUAUGGAUGGUUUCUGUGCAUGGGAGCAAGUGAGUGCGAGAAGGGCGUUCGGUGGAUGCCUUGGCACUGGAAGGCGAUGAAGGACGUGGCACGCUGCGAAAAGCCACGGGGAGCCGCGAGUAGGCUUUGAUCCGUGG
rnacentral:misc_RNA from 1 species